GAUGAACGCUGACAGAAUGCUUAACACAUGCAAGUCUACUUGAAUUUGGGUUAUUUAACUUAGAUUUGGGUGGCGGACGGGUGAGUAACGCGUAAAGAACUUGCCUCACAGCUAGGGACAACAUUUGGAAACGAAUGCUAAUACCUGAUAUUAUGAUUAUAAGGCAUCUUAGAAUUAUGAAAGCUAUAUGCGCUGUGAGAGAGCUUUGCGUCCCAUUAGCUAGUUGGAGAGGUAACGGCUCACCAAGGCGAUGAUGGGUAGCCGGCCUGAGAGGGUGAACGGCCACAAGGGGACUGAGACACGGCCCUUACUCCUACGGGAGGCAGCAGUGGGGAAUAUUGGACAAUGGACCAAGAGUCUGAUCCAGCAAUUCUGUGUGCACGAUGACGUUUUUCGGAAUGUAAAGUGCUUUCAGUUGGGAAGAAAAAAAUGACGGUACCAACAGAAGAAGUGACGGCUAAAUACGUG
rnacentral:rRNA from 1 species